CCCUCUCCCGACAAGCAGACCAUUGAGUUGCAAUUGCAUCGAAGACAUGUAAUUGUAGUCAGGAACGACAUUUACAGUUACGUGCCUAUUAACAAACAGGCAACUCCCCGUCUCUCGAAGGAAAAAAAAUAUAUACGCAAAGGCGAGUCCUUCACCAAUUGUGUUUGCAGUAAGACAUGUAUAGUUCCACGGGUAAAUGAACAUGCUACAUACAGUCAAUUUUUUCUUUAAGGCUAAAGAAUAAAUAAUUACCCGCAAAAAAAGAAUAAAUAAUUAAUAAAAACAUAGUUACAUAGGGAUACGAUAUGUGCACAAGCAUGUGGAGGAUGUACAUGUAGCUCAUAGUAUUAUUUCAAAAAUGACGAAAAUAAAUGUGAACAUUAAGAAUUAAUAAAGGACAAAAAUAAAAAUAAAA
rnacentral:lncRNA from 1 species